rnacentral:lncRNA from 1 species
AUGGUUUUCUCGAUUGUUGACAUGCCUGGGCCGGUUUCUGACAUGGGGGUCAGUAGAAGUGUGGGAUUGGCAGCUGUGGAGGUGCGACUGGAGGCCUUCUCAGACAACAGCGGCAAGCUGCAGCUCUCCCUGCAGGAAAUCAUCGAAUGGCUGACGGCCAAAGACGAGGAGCUGUCCGAGCAGCUGCCCAUAGGGGGCGACGUGGGGGCGGUGCAGCACCAGCGGGAGUUCCAUCAGGCCUUCAUGGAGGAUGUAAAGUCCAGGGGACCAUUCAUCUACUCGGUGUUGGAGUCUGCCCAGGCCUUCCUGGCCCAGCAUCCUUUCCAGGAGCCUGAGGAGACGCUGCCAGAUGGCAAAGAGGUGUCGCCGAGGCGGCGAAUGUUGAACGUGAGCCGCUCGGUGUGGAAGCAGGCCAACGUGGCCAGCGAUCUGUGGGAGAAGCUGACGGCACGCUGUGUGGACCGGCACCGGCACAUGGAGCGUACACUGGAGAGGCUGCUGCAGGUCCAGGCAGCGAUGGAGGAGCUGGCUGGAGCUCUGGAGCAGGCUGAAGGAGUGAGGGAUGCCUGGGAACCUGUGGGAGAUCUCUUCAUCGACUCACUGCAGGACCACAUAGAUGCCACCAAGCUGUUUAAGGAGGAGUUGUCUCAAGUCAAGGAGGGCAUGAAGCACAUCAAUGACCUCGCCCACCAGCUAGCCAUCUCCGACGUGCACUUGUCUAUGGAGAACGCCCGCGCCCUGGAGCAUCUCAACAGCAGAUGGAAGCUGCUGCAGGGUUCCAUUGAAGAGCGCCUGAAGCAGCUGCAGGAUGCCCACAGAGAUUUUGGCCCCGGAUCACAGCACUUUCUCUCCAGUAAGAGAGCUAUCACGCUCGGGCUUGCACCGGGCCGCCCGCUCCAUCAGGCCCAGACCACCUGCUGGGAUCAUCCAAAGAUGACAGAAUUGUACCAGGCUCUGGCGGACCUGAACAAUAUCAAGUUCUCUGCGUACCGGACGGCGAUGAAGCUGCGGCGAGUGCAGAAAGCUCUGAGAUUGGACCUGCUGAAGCUGACCAGUGUGACGGACGUGUUCCGGGAGCAGGAGCUGCAGCACGGCGAGUACGUGAUGGACGUGGUGGAGGUGAUCCAUGCCCUGACCGCUCUGUAUGAAAGACUGGAGGAGGAGAGAUCUGUACUCAUCAACAUCCCUCUCUGUGUGGACAUGUGCCUCAACUGGCUGCUCAACGUCUAUGACAGCGGCCGGAACGGUAAGAUGCGGGUGCUCUCCUUCAAGACGGGGGUGGUGAGCCUAUGCAAUGCAGAUGUGCAGGAGAAAUACAGAUAUUUGUUCAGACAGGUGUGUGGUCCAAACGGACUGACGGAUCAGAAGCACCUCAGUCUGCUGCUCCAUGAAGUUAUUCAGAUCCCUCGCCAGCUGGGUGAGGUAGCAGCCUUCGGGGGGAGCAACGUGGAGCCCAGCGUCCGGAGCUGCUUCCGCAUGGCCCCGGGGAAACCAGCUAUCGAGGUUUCUCACUUUCUGGAGUGGAUGAGUUUGGAGCCGCAGUCGGUGGUGUGGUUGCCUGUCCUGCACCGCGUGACGGCGGCCGAAUCUGCCAAGCACCAGGCGCGCUGCUACAUCUGUAAACAAUGCCCCAUCAAGGGCUUCAGGUACCGAAGUCUGAAACAGUUUAACGUAGACAUCUGCCAGAUGUGUUUCCUGACCGGACGAACAACCAAAGGCAAAAGGCUACACUACCCCAUAAUGGAGUACUACACCCCGAACUGGAAAAUAUUUCCAAACAGAAGCUCAAGUUUAAGCAAUCCAUAUUACAGUAAUAACUACUCAAGUAAGCUGGCAGAAAUGGAAAGCCAGAGUUGCUCCUUCUUCACUGACAGCCUCUCUCCUGAUGAAAGUCUGGAUGAAGAUCAGUACCUCCUGCGUCACUCCAGCCCCGCCCUGGAACAGGACUCUCCGCCCGGGCCACACCUCCUCGCCCACCUCGACUGCCACAACAAGGAGGAGCUGCAGCGAACGCUGGCACGGCUGGAGAACGAGAACAGGAUGCUGCAGGGCGAGUACCGGCGGCUGAAGUGGAAGCACGAGGAGGCGGCGGCAGCUCCGCAGCUGGUGGAGGGCGGCGCGGGAUCGCCGGCGGGUCAGCAGGACGAGGAGCUCCUGGCCGAAGCUCGAGUCCUGCGGCAGCACAAGACCCGCCUGGAGACCCGCAUGCAGAUCCUGGAGGACCACAACAAGCAGCUGGAGUCGCAGCUCUGCCGGCUCCGGGAGCUGCUGCUGCAGGUGGGUGCUUAUCGCUUUCGUUUGCGAUAUUUAAUCAAUCAAUCAAUAAAUCAACCUUUAUUUCCACUCGAUAAAUACAUUGAGGGUAACCCUCAUUUUCAAUGCAGCCGAGCUUACAUAAAAUUAAAGGGAUUGAAAAAUAAGUUUAAAUUAUGAAAACAAGCAAAGAAUGUAAGAUUUAAUUAAGAAGAAAUUAAAUAAUUCAAAAUAUAAUGAGACAGGCUACAAUGUAAAACAAUAAAACAAAGAGAUAAAUAAAUAAUUUAGUACA